UCCCUGGUGGUCCAGUGGUUAAGACUCUGCGCUUCCAAUGCAGGGGGCACAAGUUCAAUCCCUGGCCAGGGAA